rnacentral:lncRNA from 1 species
GGGGUGCACUUUUGUUCAUGGGCCCUUUCCCUCUAUAUUUGAACCCCAUGGAUCAUCUCUCAAGUCGUUCCCUUUGGUUGCUUACAAUCCACCACGCUUCCCUGCAAGUUCACGCCCUCGUGAACGGAAGUUGAGAGCCGCAGCUCUCCCAAGAGCCCUGCUCUCUUGACACCCUACCCCUCGGGUCGAGCCCAACGGGAGCAAACUGGACCAGCCAGAUGUCAAUCAACAUGUGGUGUGAUUCCCUUAGCCAACCAACAGAGUCGGACUUGAGACCGCUCCGAUACCAAAUGUAAGCUCCUGAGUUUGGACUUCCCGAGAGGUCACCCAGCCCAGUACUAU